rnacentral:lncRNA from 1 species
AUGUCUCCCAAGUUCCCCGCACCCAGCGAAGGCACAAAGGCAGGGCGGGACCCAGGGGUGACUGUUUCUCGAGGGCUAGGGCCCGCCGUCGUGCGUGGCGCUGUACAGCGAGGGGAGACGAGCUGGAGGGACAAUGACAAUGUGCUCUCAGCCGUGGGCGUGGGGAGGGCACCGGCCAGCGGGGCUGGGCGGCCUCGUAGAGAUCCACCCGCUCGGGCGGGCGAACGCAGCCGCGGCUCCGCCCUGGGCCUGGCCGGGCUCCACAGGAAACUGCUGCUGCUCCCCUCUCCGCCUGGCCCCGCCGCGGGCUUCGCCUCCAGCCGCCGCCGGGGCUGCGGACCAGCCGCUUUCACUUUCGCCUUCGAGUCGUCUCCGCUGCUGGAGCCCCGGGACCCCCGCGCGCGGUCAGGUUGAAUACAUGGAGAGAGAAGAAGCAAGCUACCUAAGGAGGUAGGAAAUGGCCCUUUGUUUCCACUUGUUGUGAGUAACAAGGCCACCCAUCAUGUUUUCCCCUGUCUUCAUAUUACUGACAGCUGCAGGAGCGGGAGCUCCCUGUAAAAUUUUGUGUCUGGGAUGCAGAGGGGUGAGAGUGGGGGAAGCCCUCCCUGUUUCUUCCAUAAUCGUGUCACCAUGUUUGGUGGAGGUUCUUGGGUACAGAUUUAUCAGAUGGUGCUGAGUAAGACUUAUCCCAUCCAGAGUGACUCCAGAUUUUCUAGUAAGUACAAAGAAAUAGAUGUGGUGUUGCAUGUGCUUUACAAGCUUUUUACAUUGAGCUGCGGU